AGCAGGAGGGGAGGAGGAUCGGCAGGAGACUCGUGAAGGUGGCCACUGUCAGACAGGCAGCCGCGGGCGAGAGGAGGAUCAUGGGAGGUAUUGACGUUAAACUGGAAGAAAGGGCUUUUCACAUGGGGACACUCCUGAGGGCGCACAAAAACCAUUAAAGCUCCGAAAAGUGGACAGGUGAUGCAUGAGAUUACGUCAUUUUCAGUGGAUUAUGUUUUGCCACAGUUCCGGUUUCCAUGGUAACAGCAACGUCUCUGAUUGGUGGAUCUCUCUUGAGGACUUCACAGGGACUUUGGUUGUUACACCACCUCAAGAGCUUAUAGUAGGUCUGUCUUCUGAUAUCCCAGGCAAAAAGCCGGGCCGAUUCAAUCGCAGGGAAACCAGAUCCAGGACUCACAUGAGCUGGGAUUAACACAAAUAUUUGAGCCCUGCCUUCUUCCCAGGUAA